GCCGGCAUAGCUCAGUGGCAGAGCGAGCGCUUCAUAAGCGUUAGGUCGUUGGUCCGAUCCCAACUGUCGGCA
rnacentral:tRNA from 2 species